rnacentral:rRNA from 1 species
GAUGAACGCUGGCGGCGUGCCUAACACAUGCAAGUCGAACGGCAGCGAGGAGUGCUUGCACUCUGUCGGCGAGUGGCGAACGGCUGAGUAACGCGUAGGAACGUACCCCAAAGUGAGGGAUAAGCCCGAGAAAUCGGGUCUAAUACCGCAUAUGAUCUUCGGAUUAAAGCAUUUAUGCGCUUUGGGAACGGCCUGCGUCGGAUUAGGUUGUUGGUGAGGUAAUGGCUCACCAAGCCGACGAUCCGUAACUGGUCUGAGAGGAUGAUCAGUCAGACUGGAACUGAGACACGGUCCAGACUCCUACGGGAGGCAGCAGUGAGGAAUCUUCCACAAUGGGGGCAACCCUGAUGGAGCAGCGCCGCGUGCAGGAUGAAGGCCUUCGGGUUGUAAACUGCUUUUAUUUGUGAAGAAUAUGACGGUAACAAAAAUAAGGCGGCUAACUAC